rnacentral:rRNA from 1 species
GGGUUGUGAGGUUAAGCGACUAAGCGUACACGGUGGAUGCCCUGGCAGUCAGAGGCGAUGAAGGACGUGCUAAUCUGCGAUAAGCGUCGGUAAGGUGAUAUGAACCGUUAUAACCGGCGAUUUCCGAAUGGGGAAACCCAGUGUGAUUCGUCACACUAUCAUUAACUGAAUCCAUAGGUUAAUGAGGCGAACCGGGGGAACUGAAACAUCUAAGUACCCCGAGGAAAAGAAAUCAACCGAGAUUCCCCCAGUAGCGGCGAGCGAACGGGGAGCAGCCCAGAGCCUGAAUCAGUGUGUGUGUUAGUGGAAGCGUCUGGAAAGGCGCGCGAUACAGGGUGACAGCCCCGUACACAAAAAUGCACAUACUGUGAGCUCGAUGAGUAGGGCGGGACACGUGGUAUCCUGUCUGAAUAUGGGGGGACCAUCCUCCAAGGCUAAAUACUCCUGACUGACCGAUAGUGAACCAGUACCGUGAGGGAAAGGCGAAAAGAACCCCGGCGAGGGGAGUGAAAAAGAACCUGAAACCGUGUACGUACAAGCAGUGGGAGCACGCUUAGGCGUGUGACUGCGUACCUUUUGUAUAAUGGGUCAGCGACUUAUAUUCUGUAGCAAGGUUAACCGAAUAGGGGAGCCGAAGGGAAACCGAGUCUUAACUGGGCGUUAAGUUGCAGGGUAUAGACCCGAAACCCGGUGAUCUAGCCAUGGGCAGGUUGAAGGUUGGGUAACACUAACUGGAGGACCGAACCGACUAAUGUUGAAAAAUUAGCGGAUGACUUGUGGCUGGGGGUGAAAGGCCAAUCAAACCGGGAGAUAGCUGGUUCUCCCCGAAAGCUAUUUAGGUAGCGCCUCGUGAAUUCAUCUCCGGGGGUAGAGCACUGUUUCGGCAAGGGGGUCAUCCCGACUUACCAACCCGAUGCAAACUGCGAAUACCGGAGAAUGUUAUCACGGGAGACACACGGCGGGUGCUAACGUCCGUCGUGAAGAGGGAAACAACCCAGACCGCCAGCUAAGGUCCCAAAGUCAUGGUUAAGUGGGAAACGAUGUGGGAAGGCCCAGACAGCCAGGAUGUUGGCUUAGAAGCAGCCAUCAUUUAAAGAAAGCGUAAUAGCUCACUGGUCGAGUCGGCCUGCGCGGAAGAUGUAACGGGGCUAAACCAUGCACCGAAGCUGCGGCAGCGACGCUGAUGCGUUGUUGGGUAGGGGAGCGUUCUGUAAGCCUGUGAAGGUGUGCUGUGAGGCAUGCUGGAGGUAUCAGAAGUGCGAAUGCUGACAUAAGUAACGAUAAAGCGGGUGAAAAGCCCGCUCGCCGGAAGACCAAGGGUUCCUGUCCAACGUUAAUCGGGGCAGGGUGAGUCGACCCCUAAGGCGAGGCCGAAAGGCGUAGUCGAUGGGAAACAGGUUAAUAUUCCUGUACUUGGUGUUACUGCGAAGGGGGGACGGAGAAGGCUAUGUUGGCCGGGCGACGGUUGUCCCGGUUUAAGCGUGUAGGCUGGUUUUCCAGGCAAAUCCGGAAAAUCAAGGCUGAGGCGUGAUGACGAGGCACUACGGUGCUGAAGCAACAAAUGCCCUGCUUCCAGGAAAAGCCUCUAAGCAUCAGGUAACAUCAAAUCGUACCCCAAACCGACACAGGUGGUCAGGUAGAGAAUACCAAGGCGCUUGAGAGAACUCGGGUGAAGGAACUAGGCAAAAUGGUGCCGUAACUUCGGGAGAAGGCACGCUGAUAUGUAGGUGAAGUCCCUCGCGGAUGGAGCUGAAAUCAGUCGAAGAUACCAGCUGGCUGCAACUGUUUAUUAAAAACACAGCACUGUGCAAACACGAAAGUGGACGUAUACGGUGUGACGCCUGCCCGGUGCCGGAAGGUUAAUUGAUGGGGUCAGCGCAAGCGAAGCUCUUGAUCGAAGCCCCGGUAAACGGCGGCCGUAACUAUAACGGUCCUAAGGUAGCGAAAUUCCUUGUCGGGUAAGUUCCGACCUGCACGAAUGGCGUAAUGAUGGCCAGGCUGUCUCCACCCGAGACUCAGUGAAAUUGAACUCGCUGUGAAGAUGCAGUGUACCCGCGGCAAGACGGAAAGACCCCGUGAACCUUUACUAUAGCUUGACACUGAACAUUGAGCCUUGAUGUGUAGGAUAGGUGGGAGGCUUUGAAGUGUGGACGCCAGUCUGCAUGGAGCCGGCCUUGAAAUACCACCCUUUAAUGUUUGAUGUUCUAACGUUGACCCGUAAUCCGGGUUGCGGACAGUGUCUGGUGGGUAGUUUGACUGGGGCGGUCUCCUCCUAAAGAGUAACGGAGGAGCACGAAGGUUGGCUAAUCCUGGUCGGACAUCAGGAGGUUAGUGCAAUGGCAUAAGCCAGCUUGACUGCGAGCGUGACGGCGCGAGCAGGUGCGAAAGCAGGUCAUAGUGAUCCGGUGGUUCUGAAUGGAAGGGCCAUCGCUCAACGGAUAAAAGGUACUCCGGGGAUAACAGGCUGAUACCGCCCAAGAGUUCAUAUCGACGGCGGUGUUUGGCACCUCGAUGUCGGCUCAUCACAUCCUGGGGCUGAAGUAGGUCCCAAGGGUAUGGCUGUUCGCCAUUUAAAGUGGUACGCGAGCUGGGUUUAGAACGUCGUGAGACAGUUCGGUCCCUAUCUGCCGUGGGCGCUGGAGAACUGAGGGGGGCUGCUCCUAGUACGAGAGGACCGGAGUGGACGCAUCACUGGUGUUCGGGUUGUCAUGCCAAUGGCACUGCCCGGUAGCUAAAUGCGGAAGAGAUAAGUGCUGAAAGCAUCUAAGCACGAAACUUGCCCCGAGAUGAGUUCUCCCUGACUCCUUGAGAGUCCUGAAGGAACGUUGAAGACGACGACGUUGAUAGGCCGGGUGUGUAAGCGCAGCGAUGCGUUGAGCUAACCGGUACUAAUGAACCGUGAGGCUUAACCUUACAACGCCGAAGCUGUU